rnacentral:lncRNA from 1 species
GGGGACCUUAAGCGAGCUCCGAAGUUGAGACAUGGAUUGAACCGUCUCUGUGUCUUGCUUUGAGCGCUGCUGUUGGGUGCUGUGAGUGGACCUCAAGUAAGCUCCGUUUUUGAAACAUGUGAUGUCAGGAUUAUGCUUUGUGUUGUCCAAAUCUAUGGGAUAUUUUAGGAUGCAGUGACUUAUGAUGAUGUGCGUGUGAACUUCACUGGGGAAGAGUGGGAUUUGCUGGAUCCUUCCCAGAAAAGUCUCUAUGAAGAGGUGAUGCAGGAGACCUACCAGAACAUCACUGCUAUAGGCUACAAGUGGGAAGACCAUCAUAUUGAAGAACAUUGUCAAAGUUCUAG